rnacentral:RNase_P_RNA from 1 species
CGAGCCGGGCGGACGGCCGCGUGAAGUCCCCAGGGGCUUCCCGAGGAACGUCCGGGCUCCACACGGCAGGGUGGUGGGUAACGCCCACCCGGGGUGACCCGCGGGACAGUGCCACAGAAAACAGACCGCCAGGGAUCUCGGUCCCUGGUAAGGGUGAAACGGUGGUGUAAGAGACCACCAGUGCCCAGGGUGACCUGGGCAGCUAGGUAAACCCCACCCGGAGCAAGGUCAAGAGGGAGCACCUUCGGGCUGCUCCUGCGCGGACGUUCGAGGGCUGCCCGCCCGAGUCCGCGGGUAGACCGCACGAGGCCGACGGCAACGCCGGCCCUAGAUGGAUGGCCGUCUCCCCGGCCGCCGCAAGGCACCGGGCGAACAGAACCCGGCGUAUAGCUCGGCUCGUCUG